UUUCAGAUUUUUUUAAGAUUUUAUCAUCUUCUACUCAAAAAUAACUUAAACCAUUCAUUCAUUUAGUAAUGUUGACCGAAAAAACAAUCUACACUUAAGUACCGAGAGGGAACAAACCACUAAUAACAAUAGUAGAGAUAAAACCUCGUACCUUUUGCAUCAUGGGAAGACAAGAAUCUCUUUUAAAUUUAAAUCACCCGAACUUUACGUGAGCUACUCUGUAGAAUAAACACAAUGUUGCAAAACUGUUGUUAACUACAUAAUAGAUGCUAAAUACUUACCGCACUAAAAGAUAGCUGGUUACUCAGAAAAGAUAUAAAAGUAUCUCCUUUCUUUAGGAAAGAUUCAAUAACAGAAGGAUAAGCUUCCGUUAUAUCAACGGCUCGAGAUCAUUAAUUUUUUAACAGUAGGAAUAAAAUUUUCCACCACCAAUUUUGUUAUAAAAUAUAAAACACUAAUUAGAAAAUCAAUUUGAUCAACCUUGAUCGCCACUGAGUCAUAUAGAACAACUAAACUCCUUGACUAUAUAACUGAUGUUUUCACAAGUAUUUUUACAUUUAAUAAUCUUUUUCACAAAAUAAAAGUUUAUUUACCAACCAACACUUAAAUAUAUAUAAGGAACUCGGCAAACACACUACUCCGCCUGUUUAUCAAAAACAUGUCUCUUAGAAAACAUUAAGAGUCAGGCCUGCCCAGUGAUCACUUUAACGGCCGCGGUACCCUGACCGUGCAAAGGUAGCAUAAUCAUUUGCCUUUUAAUUGGAGGCUAGUAUGAAUGGUCCGACGAGAGUAAAACUGUCUCAUAUAUACUCAAUAUAAAUUAACCUAAAGGUGCAAAGGCCUUUAUCUACUAGAAAGACGAGAAGACCCUGUUGAGCUUCAAUCUUAACGAGCAUCUUUUCUAUAUUUAUAAAUUUAUUUUGCUUGCUAAAGAUUUUAAUUGGGGCGAUUAAGGAACACCCAUCAGCUUCCUGAACUUACUUAGAAAUAUUUAUGAAUUAAAUCGAUCCAGCAGUGCUGAUCAGCAAAAUGAGUUACCACAGGGAUAACAGCAUAAUUCUUCUUGAGAGUCCAUAUCGAAAGAAGAGAUUGUGACCUCGAUGUUGGACUAGGGUAACCAGAAGGUGCAGCCGCUUUCUUGUUUGGUCUGUUCGACCAGUAAUUCCCUACAUGAUCUGAGUUCAGACCGGCGUAAGCCAGGUCAGUUUCUAUCUUUUAAUCAAUACAAAUUUAGGCUAGUACGAAAGGACCGCUUAAAAUAAAUAAUUUAUCACAAAGUGAAUCAUAAUCUAACUUGAUUUU
rnacentral:rRNA from 1 species